AGUGAACGCUGGCGGUAGGCCUAACACAUGCAAGUCGAACGGCAGCACAGUAAGAGCUUGCUCUUACGGGUGGCGAGUGGCGGACGGGUGAGGAAUAAAUCGGAAUCUACUUUUUCGUGGGGGAUAACGUAGGGAAACUUACGCUAAUACCGCAUACGACCUACGGGUGAAAGCAGGGGAUCUUCGGACCUUGCGCGAUUGAAUGAGCCGAUGUCGGAUUAGCUAGUUGGCGGGGUAAAGGCCCACCAAGGGGACGAUCCGUAGCUGGUCUGAGAGGAUGAUCAGCCACACUGGAACUGAGACACGGUCCAGACUCCUACGGGAGGCAGCAGUGGGGAAUAUUGGACAAUGGGCGCAAGCCUGAUCCAGCCAUACCGCGUGGGUGAAGAAGGCCUUCGGGUUGUAAAGCCCUUUUGUUGGGAAAGAAAAGCAGCAGGUUAAUACCCCGCUGUUCUGACGGUACCCAAAGAAUAAGCACCGGCUAACUUCGUG
rnacentral:rRNA from 1 species